GAAGGUUCAAGUAUUUUGAAUUCUAGAAUUGAGAAUCAUAGUUCACUUCCAGUAGAAACUAUGGAGCAUUUCGCAGGUCAAUCAAAUUAUACUGAAUGUGAUAUUCGUGUUGCACUGGUUUUAAGUGCAACGUUCUUGUUGGUGGCACAGCAAAUACCAACUUAUUUAAUGAAUCAUUGUGGCAAAGGCCCAUAGUUGUUGCAGUUAUACACUAUUCCAACAAUCUGUCCUAUCCCUGAUCCACCCAGUGAUUUUUAUGUCGAGGAGGCAUCAGUGAAGCAAGCAAGAAAUGGCAGGUGUCAUUUGGGUCGUAACACUUCUGUUUCUGAGAACAACUGUUAUGUGGCCAUGCAAAAUCUUCAACCAGCAACCAUUGUGGGAUUUGAGUUCUGUUUUGUUCUGUGAGCAUGGAACCUAAAGAGCAGAAGACAUGUAUUGGUGGCGUACUAUCUCAGUCUCUCAGACAAAGAUAGAUAUCGAAGUCUCUUCAGAAGUGUCCAAUCUUUCCAACCCAUCACUUGAUUAAUUGUUUGUUGUCAAGUUGUUUAUUCGAAUUAUAACAUAUUUUGACAGCAAGUCUUUGUCUUUUAAUGAUUGUUUUAUGAAUUUUACCUGCAGGUAGCAGAAUCGGUCCUCUGCGGUCGUUUUUAUACUUCCAUUUUCACAUCUAGCUAAUAGCUUCCUUGCUAUGCCUGAGAGUUUAGCAUCUAUCUUCUGAUGUAUUGGGGUUUCGGACAUCUGUAGGAUAGGGAAACUUGAAAUGCA